UAGACACUUUUAUAUAAGGUGUUGUGCAUUAUUUCAUCUGUUCAGUCAUUUUGUGUCUGUAGAUAACUCCACGUCUGAUUCGGAAGAAGAAAAUCAAUCAGGAUUGUUUGCCUGGGUGUCGGGGCUUUGUAUGUUAUUGGUUCCUCUGGUGACUGUUCCUGUGCUCUGGAUAUUCUUUCCAAGUUUCAGAGAGAAAUUGUAUGCAUGCACAAAUGGGGCAUAUAGAAGGGAAAGGGUCCAACAGGAAAUGCCAAAAACCAAGCAGGACGCGACUGAAAUCCAAUGGGACCUUCCCUGGAUGGAGAUGGACAAUUUGUUGAGCAAGCAACAAAAUGCUGGCCGCUGAAUCUUUCCUCAAAAUAAAAUGGACAUUGAUGGAUACACACUUCAGAAGACUUCAAAAAAGCUUCAAAAAAGCUACUCUGCUUUACAUCAGAAAUAAAGCAGAUGAAUAAAGAUAGUGAUGUUUUCACUCUGAACAAUGUGUUAUCAUUAGCUUUAGAUCAAUGAUUAGUGGUCUUAACAGAAUCAUUUUCCAUCUUAAAGUGCAAAAUGGCAUUAUAGAUUUGUUUUUUGUUUUUUGAUUUGUUAACAAAUGCAAAACUGCAGAUGAUCUUCUGCAAACUAUUCCAGGAAAGCAAUGAACAUACUGUUGCAUUAUUAUAAUUAGUUUAUUUUAUACAGUAGAUUUAGCAAGUAUUUAUUCAUUAAAAUAAAUGACAACAGAAAUUAAACACAUUUGGUAAUAUCAAUAUCAUGUAAUAAGAUUUAAAUAUAUUACAUUUUGCAAAGGAAUAAACUGUAUA